rnacentral:lncRNA from 10 species
CAGGACUCUUCCUAACAAAGGCUGAGUAAGAAACUGGGUUUCUGACCUCUCUACCCCAGCAAGCUCAGAGUCCCCUGCCUUUCCUCUGUUCUGGCUCUGUGUGUUUGCAUUACUCACUCUGUGGUUAGAAGUUCAGGUAAGUAAUUCUGGAAAAGGAGCUUUUGGAAAAAGUUGCCUGGAAAACAGGACGCUGCUUGGAGUGUCAUUUCUCCUUAUCAAUUGAAUAUGGACUUAGACAACUCAGCUCAGGUGAGGGGACACUCAUUCUGGGUAAGGUGGAAGAGGGAGGGCAGGAGAGGGGGCCUGGCCAGGUUUUUGUAGACAUUUUGAUGUCAGCUUAUAGGCUGAUAGCAGCAGCACACUCGUCACCACACAAUCAAGGUUCAACGGAUUGCCUAGGACACAAAUUGGCCCACAGACAGAAGGGAUUAGCCUUAUCUCAGAUGAGAUUUUGGACUUGGACUUUUGAAUUAAUCCUUCAAUGACCAUAGUUUAAGAAGAGAUAUCUUGAAAACACGGAAAGAGAAAAGUCAAUACAAUAUUUCCUAAUUUUUUAAGAGGUCAGAGAAGGGAGUUACUGUGUGGCCUGGAGCAGGUGAUUCUGACUACCAAGGGAAAAUUGGAGUACUACUCCACAAUGGAGGGUCUGCAGGAUGGACCCGGCAGCUGGUGCCCUGUGUGAGGAACGCUGCAACGGACUGCGACAGAACCCUCGAAAACGAAGGUGAAGAGACUGUGCAGUCAUGUGACAGACACAUCAAACCAUACCAUGGCGUGGCUAAGACCCAAGCUGGUAUCAAAAAUAAAGGAAACGACGCUGCAGGACCCGCAGCCCCAGACGAUGUGGCUUCCUCCGAUGACACAGGCCCCAGACAUUACCUGGGGGAAGCUGAAGAAGACAACUCAGGAGGCCGAGUGAAUCCUUCUCUGGACACAGACACCAUCACUCCAGAUAAUCUGUUCCUUGCUAUGCUCUCUAUUGUACCUUGCAACUCUCAUAGGGAUGCAAAGCCGGAACACGAGCUGUAACCGCUGCGCCUGUCAAAUCUGUCACUGCACACAUCUGUACUAUUCAAUCAACAAAACCCGAUGCUAAAAACAGAAAAGGGGGAGACGCGGGAGAUCGGUCAGAGUGGUAGGAGAAGGUAUAGGGAAAGGAACAGACCUUCUGAAAGGCGGGAAGGCUCUGGAUAGCUUCAGGGAUGAAUAAGCUGAAGGCAGCUGUUCUCUUACCCUGAGGCAGAGGGCAAGGGGUAGGUAAGGAAGUAUAGGGGAAUUUGGCAUAAACAGGCUUGUUUACUUACAUUGUCCGGAAACCGACUUUGAUCAUCAGGGCAGGAGACUGCUCCCUGAAAGGGGGAAUAAUAAUGUUAAUUACCCACAGAUUGUGUUGGCUCCAGGCUUUCAUUAUUUUGUCUGUACUGAAUAAAAGCAAGCAGCUCCAGCUGUUCGAGACUGCUCACUCUUCAGCCAUUAGUGCUGGGCAUUCCUGUAGCUGCUCUUACACUGCAUGCCUGUGGCUGAGUACUCCUUUCAUCCGUUGCUUGGCCAGGGUCUGUGGGAUGGACCCCGCAGGUAAGGGUUAUCAAAAAAAAAAAAAAUUCACAGGCAGAUAGGAACACCAUGACCAUACUAAAAGGCUUUUUUCCCAUUUUAGUCUUGCAAGUUUGUAAAGAAGGAUAUGAAGCCCCUAAGAAAUCAGUGAAACACUUU